rnacentral:tRNA from 1 species
AGGGAUGUAGCUCAGUGGUAGAGCACUUGCCUCGCCUGCAUGAGGACCUGGUUUCCAUCCCCAGCACUGCAA